UGAGGAAUAUUGGUCAAUGGGCGAGAGCCUGAACCAGCCAAGUAGCGUGCGGGAUGAAGGCCCUAUGGGUUGUAAACCGCUUUUACAGGGGGAUAAAGUGAGUCACGCGUGAUUCAUUGCAGGUACCCUGCGAAUAAGGACCGGCUAAUUCCGUGCCAGCAGCCGCGGUAAUACGGAAGGUCCGGGCGUUAUCCGGAUUUAUUGGGUUUAAAGGGUGCGCAGGCGGCGCGCCAAGUCAGCGGUCAAAGUUCCGGGCUCAACCCGGUGUCGCCGUUGAAACUGGCGUGCUCGAGUGCGUGCGAGGAAGGCGGAAUGCGUUGUGUAGCGGUGAAAUGCAUAGAUAUGACGCAGAACUCCGAUUGCGAAGGCAGCUUUCCAGCGCGCUACUGACGCUGAGGCACGAAAGCGUGGGGAUCGAACAGGAUUAGAUACCCUGGUAGU
rnacentral:rRNA from 1 species